CCUACGUGUGGCAGCAGUGAGGAAUAUUGGUCAAUGGGCGGGAGCCUGAACCAGCCAAGUCGCGUGAAGGACGGAGGUACUUAGUAUUGUAACCUUCUUUUGUCGGGGAACAUAGGCGGAGACGCGUCUCCGGCUGAGUGUCCCCGCAGAAAAAGCAUCGGCUAACUCCGUGCCAGCAGCCGCGGUAUUAGGGAGGAUGCGAGCGUUUUCCGGAUUUAUUGGGUUUAAAGGGUGCGCAGGGGGGAGAUCAAGUCAGCGGUAAAAUGUCGGGGCUCAACCCCGGCCGGCCGUUGAGACGGGUUUUCUAGAGUGGGAGAGAAGUAUGCGGAAUGCGUGGUGUAGCGGUGAAAUGCAUAGAUAUCACGAAGAACUCCGAUUGCGAAGGCAGCAUACCGGUUCGAGACUGACGCUGAUGCACGAAAGCGUGGGGAUCGAACAGGAUUAGAUACCCUUGUAGUC
rnacentral:rRNA from 1 species